AUUGGGUUGGACAACAGGUUCAUUCUGGCUUUUCCAUAGCACCUUGUGGAAAACUGGAAUGAAUUUUUUGGUCAACAUAA
rnacentral:miRNA from 1 species